GUAGCGGUACUUACCCUCUCUGGGGGCCGGCCGAGGUACUCUGUUCCCGCCGCGCGCAGUCCUGCAUCUGCACGAGCCGCGCGGGGCGGGAACAGAGGACCUCGGCCGGCCCCUGGAGAGGGUAAGUACCGCUAC